GAAGACAAAGGUCAAGGAAGCACAAUUUUUAACCUUAAUCACUACACCACCAGCGUUAUUUUGACUGGCAGUUGUGAACAGGUUGCCCAGCACAGUCUACAAAAAGUGCACUUUGAUGAGUAUAAUGCCAUCAUUGGAUUUUUUAACAAAGGUGCACACUGGAAACUUCUGUACAUCAAUGCCAUGCAUAAGGCAAUUUUUGUUCUUGACCCUCUGGGCCAUGAUGAGCUCAAGGACUCUGCAGAGGCAGGUCAAAGAUUCAGGGACUACUUUAAGAUGCGUCAUAACAGGUAUGGUAAAGAAGACUGGGUCCAUAUCAAGUGGACAGCUGGGAAAAUUGACCACACAAAGCAGACGGAUGGAGCCAGUUGUGGAGUUUUUGUAAUGAAGGUAAAUUUACAUUUAUCCUGUGUUUAUUAUUAAAUAUACAGAAAGUGGAUGGAUCAACAAAGUAUUUAGUAGUUCCUGGAGGGCCCAAUUUCUGCACAGUUUGCUGAUUUUCCUACCACAGCACACUUGAUUCAA